CAUAGGGUUUGUACCUACAAAACAUCACAGCACUGUUACUGUGCUUCAGAGACAUGCAGGGGUCCCAGGGCAAAUCAAAAUGUUUUUAAAUGUAUGAUAUGUGUGAAGUUGAUGAAAAUUCAUGACUUCUCUCUGUCAGGGCUGCUUGAGCUGAAAUCAUCAGAGAAAGAAAGGCAAAUUGUGAAAACUUUGACACUGCAAGACUUUGUUAAAUUAGUAACCAAGGACAUCAUCAUCUUAGCAACAGCAAGUCUUGGAAAAGGGCCUGGAUUCCCAUGGAUGCAGUUCUGGAUCUUGGGAGAGAGAAAGGACUGUGCAUAAAAACCAGAAGACUCAUGUUUACUCAAGCCUCCUAAGACUUUGGAGAGCCAGCUAAUAUUGCUUUGGGAACAUCUGAUGCAGAGAUGUUAUACACUGUUCAGAGAACUACAUAGAUCUGAUGCCCAACCUCCAAAAGUUUACGAUCCAAGGAAGACAUACUGAUGUGAAGAUUCAUCAAAUGCAGACAAGAGCUAUUACAACUACCCCAUGGAUGGCCCUCCAAAUGAGUCCAAGAGCGUAAUAACCAAUGGCUGCUCUCAGAAAGGUACUGUAACCAUCACCUGCUCGGUUCUCUAACUUCCUCCCCCAUUUCCUUCUUGAUUCCCCUUUGCUGCAUCACCUUCCUGGCCCCCAGCCCUGCCUCAGAUCCCAGACUAACCCUGCCCUUAGUCAGUGGAGGUGGUGGGUGGCACUAGUUUGAAGAGUGUACUAGAUCUCCUAGUAGCUAGUCAGCCUGGAGUUGUGUUUGGAAACCUCAGGCCCUGACCGUGGCUGUCAGACCUCCCAAACACCAUCUGCUGCUGUCAUCAUCAUCAUCUUCGGGUGCUGUCCCCCUCAGCCUGGGCCUCCUCCUCUACCUCCGCUUCAGGUGUCCCACAACAAAGGAGCUCAUCUAGAUUCCAGGAACAAACCCAUCCUUGUUUGAUUCAUUCACACUGAAGGUAAAAACAGCAUUAAUAACCACAAUGGAUCCUUAGUGAGUGCUUGCUAUUAUUCAUUUAAUUAUUGGCCCUUCCAUUCCUGGCCAUGACAAGAGGUACGCUAUAACUUAACUCCUGAAGAGACUCAAUGGCACAUGUGGACAACCAUAUCGGGCAUAUUAUCCCUGGCAUCAAAAUUAGUAUCCUCCAUCUACGCAGAAUAGGCCCAACGGAAAGGGGAAAAUGAACGCCUACCUGUGCCACUGCUUUGGUGCCAAGUCCAGGAACAGUGCCUAUCCUGCUGCAUCUGGCAACGCAGUCACAGAGAAGGAGGUCGGUAGAAGCUGAGGCACUGUCAUGAGAAUAUGCAUUAAAAGUAGCAGGAGUGACUAUCCUGGGGCAAAUGCUCUUCCUGUGGAAUAUCCAUCCCCUUUUCCUAGUUCUUGUUCUUCCACAGUCUGAUCUUUGUUUUGCUGUUUUCCACCUACCAGAGUAGUAGAAGUAAAAUUAAAAGAAUUCUAAAUAGCUUUUUUAUCCUGUUAGAUUCAUGUCAGUAUGAACCCAUGGUCAGAAAAGAAGUUUAAAAUCUUUUUGUUUGUAAGGCUUCUGCCCUAUCCAUAUUAGAUUUAAGCUUUUUUUCAAAUUUAUUUCACUACUCAUACUUCCUGUGCAUGAAUCAUAUAAUCACGUCCUUUGCCCAUGUAACUAUUGGGAAUAUUGUUAGAAUUCACAUGCAUGUUUGAAUACAUUUUUAUAUACUUGGAGAAGAUAACUCUAUUUUCCAUUUGUGGUAAAAAAAAUUUUAUUGUUAGUUAUUUCUAUUGCUUAAAAAUUUAUGUUCCUAUAUUUGACUAAUUUACUUCAUUUUUAAUUUCUUUAUUUGCUCCAAUUUUAAGAAAAUUAUCACUUUAAAGUGAGAUUAAAAGCCCUAGUCUUUUCUUCGGGUUUUAUUCACCACCAUUCCUGACAUAUUACUCUGACAUUCACUGGGCCUCAAAGUCUGAUUACCAAUUACUCUUCAAUGCAUUAUUUUCACAAAAGUUGAACAUUUGUGUUAUGAUUUAAACUGUGUAGCUACUUUGAGAGUCUACCAUCCACCUGUUUAUCCUGUAUUUAGAACUAUUUCCCAUGUUUUUUGUUGUCCAAGGGGGUUUGUGGCUUACAUUCAAACCUAAGUUCAUUCAUUCAUUCAUUUAUUCAUUUACUAUGUGUGUUACACAAACUUUAGGGUGGUCUCCAGUAACCCCUGCUUCCUGAUGUUCACCCUUGAGUGUGGGCAGGACCUGCAACUUGCUUCUAACCAAUAGAAUAUGGUAAAAGUAAUAAGAUAUCCUUCCUGUACUUGUGUUACAUAAGACUCUGUCUUGCUAGCAGACUCAUUCUAGGGAUUCUUUGUGUUGGCUUGAUGAAGUAAGUGGUCAUGCUGGGGAAGCCCACAAAAUGAGGAACACUGGGCAGACUCCAGCCAGCAGCCAGAAAGAAGCCUGGAUCCUUUGUCUCGGAGCUGUAAGGAAAUGAAUUCUGCGAAGAAUGGAGCAAGCUUGAAAGAGGCUUCUUCUUCCAGUCAAGCCUCCAGAUGAGAACACAGCCCAGAUGUUAAUUAUUCAAGCUGCACGAUUGAGGAUUUCAGAGUCAGAGAUUCACCUGCAACAUUUGGAAUACCAGUGGAGGUCUACAUCAACACAGAAUUUAUACAGCAGCUGGUGUUAGUCAAAGCUAAUGAUGGAAUUUCAGUGUAAUAAAAAGACCCCCAACUGAGCAAACUAUCUUGAAAAAAGUAUACUUAUCAAACGGCUUUCAAUCAGUUCAAGAGAGACACCUUAAUUGGGAAGAGGAAGAAUUUCAGAGUAGUUUGUCAUCAUGCCAAUUCCAGAUCAAUAACUACAUGUCUGCUUUUUGGUAGACAUAACUUUUGCUUUAUAUUAAGUAAUCACAUCUACACCGUUUCUAUUUUGGUGGCAGAAGGACUUGUUGAGAUAAAACUUUCAGCUUGGAUUUUCAAGUGACAUGGAUGAGCAGAGCCACCAUGGUGAUCCAUGUUGGACAGAGGGAAUGAGAGAGAAAUAAAGUUGGUCAUGUUAAGUCAAAGAGACUAUGAGAUGCUUUGUUACUGCAGUAUCACCUAGCUCAUGCUGAUUGAGGAGGUUGCUGUGAGGCCUAUGUUAAAUACAUAUAAAGACAUGUAUCCAAAGUCAGGAAUCAAGUUACAGAUUAAUAAAUGUUAGCCAAUAUCAUUAAAAUUAUUAGAGAAUAACAACAAUAGUAAAGCUACUCUUGUGUCUUGAGGCAGGACAUUCUGGCCAUAUGGUUUAAUUUCAGGUGGUUAAGAAGAUAUGUGUACUAGAAGAAAUAUCUGUUCUGCCUACUGAACAUUGCUCCAUACUAUAGUUAAAAGUUUAGUGUCUGUUAAAAUGCUAACCAUUUCACAUUGGCAAGAUGACAGUCCAUUAAUACAAGAAAAGAAACUUAAAACAUAUUUGAAGAUCAUGAUUUAUGUCA